rnacentral:rRNA from 1 species
AUUGAACGCUGGCGGCAUGCUUUACACAUGCAAGUCGAACGGUAACAGGCCGCAAGGUGCUGACGAGUGGCGAACGGGUGAGUAAUGCAUCGGAACGUGCCCAGUCGUGGGGGAUAACGCAGCGAAAGUUGCGCUAAUACCGCAUACGAUCUAUGGAUGAAAGCGGGGGACCGUAAGGCCUCGCGCGAUUGGAGCGGCCGAUGUCAGAUUAGGUAGUUGGUGGGGUAAAGGCUCACCAAGCCGACGAUCUGUAGCUGGUCUGAGGACGACCAGCCACACUGGGACUGAGACACGGCCCAGACUCCUACGGGAGGCAGCAGUGGGGAAUUUUGGACAAUGGGCGCAAGCCUGAUCCAGCAAUGCCGCGUGCAGGAAGAAGGCCUUCGGGUUGUAAACUGCUUUUGUACGGAACGAAACGGUCCUGGUUAAUACCCGGGGCUGAUGACGGUACCGUAAGAAUAAGCACCGGCUAACUACGUGCCAGCCGCCGCGGUAAGAC